rnacentral:rRNA from 1 species
GAUGAACGCUGGCGGCGUGCCUAAUACAUGCAAGUCGAGCGAACGGACGAGAAGCUUGCUUCUCUGAUGUUAGCGGCGGACGGGUGAGUAACACGUGGAUAACCUACCUAUAAGACUGGGAUAACUUCGGGAAACCGGAGCUAAUACCGGAUAAUAUUUUGAACCGCAUGGUUCAAAAGUGAAAGACGGUCUUGUUGUCACUUAUAGAUGGAUCCGCGCUGCAUUAGCUAGUUGGUAAGGUAACGGCUUACCAAGGCAACGAUGCAUAGCCGACCUGAGAGGGCGAUCGGCCACACUGGAACUGAGACACGGUCCAGACUCCUACGGGAGGCAGCAGUAGGGAAUCUUCCGCAAUGGGCGAAAGCCUGACGGAGCAACGCCGCGUGAGUGAUGAAGGUCUUCGGAUCGUAAAACUCUGUUAUUAGGGAAGAACAUAUGUGUAAGUAACUGUGCACAUCUUGACGGUACCUAAUCAGAAAGCCACGGCUAACUACGUG